GCCACUGUGGACGUGGCUCGGUCCCUGGCAAGCGGGGCACGGAUGGUACCGGGGAGGGGGGGACAAAGUGUUCAGGAAGUCCUCCAUCAGACCCGGGCUGUGAGGCCAGUCUGUCCCCCUUUCUGCCCAGUGCCGGCCUGGGACACCCCCACCCACCAGCGGAGCGCCAGGGGAGGUCUGGUCGGUGCUUAAACCCAGGGGGCGGUGACUGGGGCCGAGAGGUGUCCUGGGUCACAGAGAGUGCACAUGUGCAUCGUUUAGAGGCCCACAAGUCACGGUGGCCGGCUCAGAGCCCCCAGUAAGGGCUCUGUCCAUGCCUCUCCCCCAGGCCCCGCGUGUCUCGUUUCCGCCCACUGAGCCCUGAGCCUCCCCCCGGCCCUGUGCCCCCAGCACCCUGCUUUCUUGCUCCGUGUGGCGAUCACCAAGGCACUUGUCGCCGUCUCUGCCAGGGCUGGGGCCUGGCCCUCCUGCCCAGGGUGACUCUCCUGCCACAUUCGGUCCCUGCUCGUCCCUGCUCUUCCCCAGAGGCUCCUCCCUCGUGUUGCACCUGAGGGAGUGCUUCCGAGACCUGAGCUGGCCACCAUCCUCAGCGUCGGUGGGGAGGCGGGGCUGCUGGUGACCAGCAUCGUCCCUCGGACCCCCUGCUUCUGGGCCACGCACGCCACCAAGCCACGGGCCUCGGGGCCUUCUCACGGGGCCUUCCUGGGGUGAGCCUGGUGACGGGGGCUGGUCGCAGUUGUGGUCUCACCCUCCUGCAUCGGCUCGGUCCGUGGGGCAGAUCCACAGCGCUAACUCACAGGCCGCCUCUUCAGAGACAAGACACGUGGGAUGCGGCGCAGACGGUGAGGCCUGUGGCCUGCAGACUCUGCACCGGGCGGGACACGCGGGCGCUGCUCGGCCCUCCCCGCCGGAUUCUGCCACAGUGUGCCACCUGGGGGACUACGGGCCGGCCUGGGACGGGUGCACGCCCAGCCGUAGACAGAGCCGCUCCUUCUCCCGCCUUCUGACUCUGGAUUCUCUGCUGCGUCCACUCCCAAGAUCCCGCUGCUGACAUCGCUUCAUGCCCCAGGAAGGGACAAGCUGCUGCUCCCAGCCCUGCCCUCCGGCCCUCUUGCUGGGGGCUGCUGUGACCGCCCCGGGGGAACACCGUCCUCUCCUUCCCCCGCCGCCUUGGCCAGGUGCUGGGUGCUGGACAGGAUGGAUGCCUGUGGUCCUGCUCGUCGACUCUGGCCGGUGGGCUACCCUCCCAGUGCAGUCCCUGUGCAGCCUGGAGUGACCACUUCUGAGCCAUCCCCCUCUGACUCAGCCUAUCAUGCUAGAGAAAGCACUUCCAUCUGGGGUCAGCCUGCCUGGGGAGCCCUCCCCGACCGGUAGAGACUUGUCCGCCCACCGCUGCCCCCCUCUCCUCCUCGGCCUGACCGCGGGCCACCCAGCUUUCCUUGUUGUGCUGUGCUGUGCAGACACUUGGAGUUCAUACUGGGUUAUCCAUCGCAUCCUCAAAGGGAAAAUCACUGGUGCUUAGACCUUGGAGGCAACUGCCCUGUAUCUAACUGUCCUCCCUCCCUCCAGCCCUGGGGGCUCCCGGGCAGGCCGCCUGGGCCCGGAUGCUGCACCUUGACCUGGCAUUCUGCUGAAGAAACAAGCUGAGGUUAUGGGGGGGGGGCCCUCCUUCCCACUGAGACUAAUUCUCGCUCUUCCAGUCACACAUCCUGAUGUUUGACGAGUUUAAGUAACGCGGCGACUGUCAGCAUGCCCCUUCUCUGUCCCGUUCUGUCCCCCUUGUCCUCAAGCACAGUGCACUCUUGAGGCCUUGGGGGUGAAGAGGCCACCGGCGCCCACGAUUGCUUUGACCCUCAUUUGGCCUUGCCCCCAGCUCACCUCUCAGAAGAGAGAGAGGUCUCCACGUGUCACGGGCUCCCCAACUCUGCCUGUACCACACCCAGGAAGCUUCCACGAGGUCAAAGCCGGAGGCCACCAGUGGGUCCUCCCCGCGUCUCUUCUGUGUACCCCCAGAGUAUGACAGAAGUUGCCCUAAGAGAUGCCGGAGAACGGAGGGGCCCACGCUUGGUUUUCCUGGCCUUCCAGAGAAGAAUCAGGGAGCACUUAAAAGAGGCAUCACCUUGGUGAAUAAAUAAUGGCAUGUUUCAGGA